UACGAAGGGGGCUAGCGUUGCUCGGAAUCACUGGGCGUAAAGCGCACGUAGGCGGCUUUCUAAGUCAGGGGUGAAAUCCUGGAGCUCAACUCCAGAACUGCCUUUGAUACUGGAGAGCUUGAGUCCGGAAGAGGUGAGUGGAACUCCGAGUGUAGAGGUGAAAUUCGUAGAUAUUCGGAAGAACACCAGUGGCGAAGGCGGCUCUCUGGGACGGUACUGGACGCUGAUGUGCGAAAGCGUGGGGAGCAACAGG
rnacentral:rRNA from 1 species